rnacentral:rRNA from 1 species
UGCAGUCGAGCGGGCAUCCUUGUGGUGUCAGCGGCAGACGGGUGAGUAACGCGUGGGAACGUGCCCUUCGGUUCGGAAUAACUCAGGGAAACUUGUGCUAAUACCGGAUACGCCCUUUUGGGGAAAGGUUUACUGCCGAAGGAUCGGCCCGCGUCUGAUUAGCUAGUUGGUGAGGUUAUGGCUCACCAAGGCGACGAUCAGUAGCUGGUCUGAGAGGAUGAUCAGCCACACUGGGACUGAGACACGGCCCAGACUCCUACGGGAGGCAGCAGUGGGGAAUAUUGGACAAUGGGGGCAACCCUGAUCCAGCCAUGCCGCGUGAGUGAUGACGGCCUUAGGGUUGUAAAGCUCUUUUCUCCGGGACGAUAAUGACGGUACCGGAGGAAUAAGCCCCGGCUAACUUCGUGCCAGCAGCCGCGGUAAUACGAAGGGGGCUAGCGUUGCUCGGAAUCACUGGGCGUAAAGGGCGCGUAGGCGGCUGAUUUAGUCGAGGGUGAAAGCCCGUGGCUCAACCACGGAAUGGCCUUCGAUACUGAUUGGCUUGAGACCGGAAGAGGACAGCGGAACUGCGAGUGUAGAGGUGAAAUUCGUAGAUAUUCGCAAGAACACCAGUGGCGAAGGCGGCUGUCUG